rnacentral:rRNA from 1 species
UACGAAGGGUGCAAGCGUUAAUCGGAAUUACUGGGCGUAAAGCGCGCGUAGGUGGUUCAGUAAGUUAGGAGUGAAAGCCCCGGGCUUAACCUGGGAGUUGCUUCUAAAACUGCUGAGCUAGAGUACGGUAGAGGGUGGUGGAAUUUUCUGUGUAGCGGUGAAAUGCGUAGAUAUAGGAAGGAACAGCAGUGGCGAAGGCGACCACCUGGACUGAUACUGACACUGAGGUGCGAAAGCGUGGGGAGGAAACAGG